UACGUAGGGUGCGAGCGUUAAUCGGAAUUACUGGGCGUAAAGCGCGCGUAGGCGGGCGUCUAAGUCAGGGGUGAAAUCCCAGGGCUCAACCCUGGAACUGCCUUUGAUACUGGAUGCCUGGAGUUCGGGAGAGGUGAGUGGAAUUCCGAGUGUAGAGGUGAAAUUCGUAGAUAUUCGGAGGAACACCAGAAGCGAAGGCGGCUCACUGGCCCGAUACUGACGCUGAGGCGCGAAAGCGUGGGGAGCGAACAGG
rnacentral:rRNA from 1 species